AUUGAACGCUGGCGGCAGGCUUAACACAUGCAAGUCGAACGAGUGGCGGACGGGUGAGUAAUGAAUCGGAAUGUUGCUUGUGGAGGGGGAUAACUACGGGAAACUGUAGCUAAUAACGCGUACAAUAGGCUGGGCCGAAGUGGGAUUAGGUAGUUGGUGAGGUAAAGGCUCACCAAGCCGACGAUCUGUAGCUGGUCUGAGAGGAUGACCAGCCACACUGGGACUGAGACACGGCCCAGACUCCUACGGGAGGCAGCAGUGGGGAAUAUUGCACAAUGGGGGCAACCUGACGCAGCCAUGCCGCGUGUAUGAAGAAGGCCUUCGGGUUGUAAAGUACUUUCGGUAGCGAGGCGUUAACUACAGAAGAAGCACCGGCUAACUCCGUGCCAGCAGCCGCGGUAAUAC
rnacentral:rRNA from 1 species